UACAGAGGGUGCGAGCGUUGUCCGGAUUCAUUGGGCGUAAAGAGCGUGUAGGCGGCCAGGUAGGUCGGUUGUGAAAACUGGAGGCUCAACCUUCAGAGGUCGACCGAAACCAUCUGGCUAGAGUCCGGGAGAGGAGAGUGGAAUUCCUGGUGUAGCGGUGAAAUGCGCAGAUAUCAGGAAGAACACCCGUGGCGAAGGCGGUUCUCUGGAACGCAACUGACGCUGAGGAGCGAAAGCAUGGGUAGCGAACAGG
rnacentral:rRNA from 1 species